CAGUCCUAAAUGCCUGAUAUAACUUAGAUAUCCAGAUGUAACGUGGAAAACUGAAUCAUACCCACUGAUUAAAGGGACAUACAAAUAUAAUAUAAUCAAAGAAAAGGAAAAGGGAACAUGUGAAAGUUAAUUGAAAACUAACAAGACAAUAACAUAUGACCUGAUUGGUGGUGGUUGGGAACAUCGAUCGGGAAUCGACACGUACACGAACUAAAGAACAAAUGAGAUCGAAAGAAGAUAGUACAAUAUGAAACUCAAGAACAGGCAAAAAUAGCAUCCAGUUCAGAUGAUUUGAAUAUUUCUCUAGCAUAUUUGAUCUUCCUGCCCAUGUCUUCUCCCGGCUCCCCGCCUUUAAUCAUCUCGCAUUGGCAGAUAAACGCAUCAAGUUCUCAACAAAUAAGGAAUAAACAAACUCAACAAUGAUGGUUUAACCUUCAACGAAACAAACCCUGAUAAAAAUGCUUAACCAAAAAAGCAGACUAGCAGCACCUACCCCGAAUGUGGUAUAUCACACGGUAUAAGAAUUCAACGGUUUGCAAAAGGGUCUGUAACAUAGUGGUUACAUAAGGCCUUAGUAGUACUUGAGAUCCUAGGUUUGACUCCUCUUUGGAGCGAAUUUUUCGGUAUUCUAACGGCUUUGUGCUUUCAGUGUGAGAUAACGUGCCCGUCGUCAGCGAGGUGCCAGUGGUGACUUCAUUAUUAAUUAAAUCUUGCUGACGGUCUUUGGAGGUGCUCGUAGGGAUAGAGUUUGCGUGCGUGCGUUCUCAGGGAGAGUGUGCAUGCGUUGUGAGCGUGUUCAUUAUUAAUUAAAUCUUGCUGACGGUCUUUGGAGGUGCUCGUAGGGAUAGAGUUUGCGUGCGUGCGUUCUCAGGGAGAGUGUGCGUGCGUUGUGAGCGUGCGUUGUACUGUGUUCUAAAAAAAGAAUUCAACGGUUUUUUAAGAGAACUGUCAUAGGAAAU
rnacentral:lncRNA from 1 species